CCCAACCCCCAUUUUCAGUUCCAAUUUUUUUUCUUUUUAAUUUUAGCUAAAGUCGCAAUAAAUAGUUAUUUUAGUUAGUGGUUCCAUUUUCUUUCGUAAAAAAAGAUAUGCUCUAAAUUCGUUUUCCAAAAACUAUACUCCAAAUGCUUCAUUUGGGACGGAGAAAGCACUAUUUGUGUUUUUGAGAGAAGUAAUUUUUUAUUUUUAUUUUUUAUUUCUCUAGCUAAUACAACUUACUACAUCACGCAUGAACCUCAAAAUAAAAGUAAAUUACAUACCUCUAAAUAAUAGUAAAUCACAUGAGUUUUUGGACAAAAAAAAAGUUUGGUCACUAUAA
rnacentral:lncRNA from 1 species